CCUUGCCUCUCGGCGCCGCGGCAGCUCUGGGCUGGCGCUGGCACCGCCGCCGCCGCCGCUUCCUCUCCGCAGCCGUUCGGCCGCUGCGUGACGCGUCGUUUCCUCUCAACAUGGCGUCCGGGGCAGGUCGGCGGUGAUGGAGGCCAGUCGGCGGCUGCGGCGGAUGCUGGUCCCCACGGUAGCUAGGGCAGCCUCGCGCCUGCUGGCAGUGUGAGGCGCCGCCACCUAGGCCCUCGGCCCCGGGAAGACGGCCGCCCGGGCCGAGUGCCGCCGCCGCCGGGCCGUAGGGACGAGUGAGGCGGGCGGCCGGGAAGCGACCCCCGGGCCGACGGCGCCGAGGCCGGACGGGCGCGGCCCUCGAACGGCGGCCCCUCGAGCGUGGCGAGGCUUUCGACGCCCUUGGCGGCCCCGCGGCCGCUCCGCGUCGCCGGCCGCUUCCUGGUGCCGCCGCUGCCCUCCACGCCUCCUCGCCCCCACCGCCACCUCCUCGCCUUUCUCCCUCCCCGUCCUCAUCCCGGUCCCCGUCCCCCUCCUCCGCCUUCCCUCCAGCCGCCGGGACCGCCGCCGCCGCCGCCUCCUCCGCGUCCAUGUAUGAGGGCAAGAAGACGAAGAACAUGUUCCUGACCCGGGCCCUGGAGAAGAUUCUGGCCGACAAGGAAGUGAAGAAGGCGCAUCACUCCCAGCUGCGCAAAGCGUGCGAGGUGGCCCUAGAGGAAAUAAAAGUUGAAACUGAGAAACAAAGCCCUCCUCAUGGAGAAGCAAAAGCUGGAUCAGGCACCCUUCCACCAGUGAAAUCAAAGACAAAUUUUAUUGAAGCAGACAAGUACUUUUUACCCUUUGAGUUGGCAUGCCAGUCCAAAUGUCCCCGCAUAGUUAGUACAUCUCUAGAUUGUUUGCAGAAACUUAUUGCUUAUGGGCACUUGACUGGCAGGGCUCCAGAUAGUACGACACCAGGCAAAAAAUUAAUUGAUAGAAUUAUUGAAACAAUAUGUGGCUGCUUCCAAGGUCCUCAAACAGAUGAAGGAGUUCAGUUGCAGAUAAUAAAGGCUUUACUUACCGCAGUGACAUCACAACACAUAGAAAUCCAUGAAGGAACUGUGCUGCAAGCUGUGAGGACAUGCUACAAUAUCUAUUUAGCCAGCAAAAAUCUCAUCAAUCAGACAACAGCCAAAGCUACUCUUACUCAAAUGCUGAACGUUAUCUUUGCACGCAUGGAAAACCAAGCAUUACAGGAGGCCAAACAAAUGGAAAGAGAAAGACAUCGGCAGCAGCAGCAUUUGUUACAGUCUCCAGUAAGCCAUCAUGAGCCCGAGUCACCUCAUCUUAGAUAUUUGCCACCUCAGACUGUUGAUCAUAUAAACCAAGAGCAUGAAGGGGAUCUUGAGCCCCAAACACAUGAUGUGGAUAAAAGUCUCCAAGAUGAUACAGAGCCUGAAAACGGAUCUGAUAUUUCCAGUGCAGAAAAUGAACAGACAGAAGCUGAUCAGGCAACUGCAGCUGAAACAUUAUCUAAAAAUGAUAUCUUGUAUGAUGGAGACUAUGAAGAAAAGCCACUUGAUAUUGUCCAGAGCAUUGUAGAAGAAAUGGUGAACAUCAUUGUUGGAGACAUGGGAGAAGGGAUGGCUAUCAGUGCAAGUACAGAAGGCAACACUGGAACUGUAGAAGAUGGUAGUGACAGUGAAAACAUCCAAGCAAAUGGAAUCCCAGGAACACCCAUUUCUGUUGCAUAUACACCAUCGUUACCUGACGACAGGUUAUCUGUCUCCUCCAAUGAUACUCAGGAAUCUGGAAAUUCUUCAGGACCUUCACCUGGUGCUAAGUUUUCCCACAUUUUACAAAAGGAUGCCUUUCUAGUGUUCAGGUCAUUGUGUAAGCUGUCAAUGAAACCACUGUCAGAUGGACCACCAGAUCCAAAGUCUCAUGAGUUACGGUCCAAGAUUCUUUCAUUGCAGUUGCUUCUGUCCAUUCUGCAGAAUGCAGGACCUGUUUUCAGGACAAAUGAGAUGUUUAUUAAUGCUAUCAAGCAGUAUCUAUGUGUUGCACUCUCAAAAAACGGAGUCUCAUCUGUUCCAGAGGUUUUUGAGCUUUCUCUUUCCAUAUUUCUUACUUUGUUGUCAAACUUCAAGACACAUCUGAAGAUGCAAAUUGAGGUAUUCUUUAAAGAAAUCUUCCUGUACAUUUUGGAAACGUCUACAAGCUCAUUUGACCAUAAGUGGAUGGUUAUUCAGACACUGACAAGGAUCUGUGCAGAUGCUCAGAGUGUGGUGGACAUUUAUGUAAAUUAUGACUGUGACCUAAAUGCAGCAAAUAUAUUUGAAAGACUAGUAAAUGACCUGUCGAAAAUUGCCCAAGGAAGGGGCAGCCAAGAACUUGGUAUGAGUAAUGUUCAGGAAUUGAGCCUGCGAAAAAAGGGGUUAGAAUGUUUAGUUUCAAUUUUGAAAUGUAUGGUUGAAUGGAGCAAGGAUCAGUAUGUGAACCCCAACUCUCAAACUACCCUUGGUCAGGAAAAACCCUCAGAGCAAGAGAUAAGUGAAGUUAAACACCCAGAGACUAUAAACAGAUAUGGAAGUUUAAACUCCUUAGAAUCCACAUCAUCAUCAGGAAUUGGCAGCUACAGUACACAGAUGUCUGGCACUGAUAAUCCAGAACAAUUUGAGGUCCUAAAGCAGCAAAAAGAAAUAAUAGAACAAGGGAUUGAUUUAUUUAAUAAGAAACCAAAGAGAGGAAUACAAUACCUCCAAGAACAAGGGAUGCUUGGCACCACACCCGAAGAUAUAGCUCAGUUCUUACAUCAAGAAGAAAGAUUAGACUCUACUCAGGUGGGUGAGUUCCUGGGAGAUAAUGAUAAAUUCAAUAAAGAAGUCAUGUAUGCAUAUGUAGACCAACAUGACUUUUCAGGAAAAGACUUUGUUUCAGCUCUUCGUCUAUUUCUGGAAGGAUUCCGGCUUCCAGGAGAAGCUCAGAAAAUUGAUCGAUUAAUGGAAAAAUUUGCUGCAAGAUACCUAGAGUGCAACCAAGGACAAACCCUUUUUGCUAGUGCAGAUACUGCUUAUGUUUUGGCCUACUCAAUUAUCAUGUUGACUACAGACCUUCACAGUCCACAGGUUAAAAACAAAAUGACAAAAGAACAGUACAUUAAAAUGAAUCGUGGUAUCAAUGACAGUAAAGAUCUCCCUGAAGAGUAUCUAUCAGCCAUUUAUAACGAAAUAGCUGGGAAAAAAAUAUCAAUGAAAGAAACAAAAGAACUAACAAUCCCUACAAAGUCAACUAAACAGAAUGUAGCCAGUGAAAAGCAAAGACGACUUCUGUAUAACUUAGAAAUGGAACAGAUGGCCAAGACGGCUAAAGCACUCAUGGAAGCUGUGAGCCAUGUUCAGGCACCUUUUACAAGUGCAACACACUUGGAGCACGUGAGGCCGAUGUUUAAGUUGGCUUGGACACCUUUUCUGGCUGCAUUCAGUGUGGGUCUCCAAGACUGUGAUGAUACUGAAGUAGCCUCUCUUUGCCUAGAAGGGAUAAGAUGUGCUAUCAGGAUUGCAUGCAUUUUCAGCAUUCAGCUGGAAAGAGAUGCAUAUGUCCAAGCACUAGCCAGAUUUACCUUACUUACAGUGAGUUCUGGUAUUACUGAAAUGAAACAGAAGAAUAUCGACACAAUAAAAACACUCAUCACGGUGGCUCACACUGAUGGAAAUUAUUUAGGAAAUUCGUGGCAUGAGAUCCUGAAGUGCAUCAGUCAGUUAGAGCUGGCACAACUUAUAGGAACUGGAGUGAAGCCUCGGUACAUUUCUGGGACUGUGAGAGGCAGAGAAGGGUCUCUCACUGGGACAAAAGAUCAGGCUCCAGAUGAAUUUGUUGGUCUAGGGCUAGUUGGAGGAAAUGUGGACUGGAAGCAGAUAGCCAGUAUUCAGGAGUCUAUUGGAGAAACCAGCUCUCAAAGUGUGGUAGUUGCUGUGGAUAGAAUAUUCACCGGAUCCACAAGGCUAGAUGGAAAUGCUAUUGUUGAUUUUGUCCGUUGGCUAUGUGCUGUGUCUAUGGAUGAAUUGCUUUCUACUACACACCCAAGAAUGUUUAGUCUACAAAAAAUAGUAGAAAUAUCAUACUAUAACAUGGGAAGAAUAAGACUGCAGUGGUCUCGGAUUUGGGAAGUUAUUGGAGAUCAUUUUAAUAAGGUUGGUUGCAAUCCUAAUGAAGAUGUAGCCAUAUUUGCAGUAGACUCUCUGAGGCAGCUAUCAAUGAAGUUUUUAGAGAAAGGAGAGCUUGCAAACUUCAGAUUCCAAAAGGAUUUCUUACGACCUUUUGAACAUAUAAUGAAACGAAACAGGUCUCCAACAAUUCGAGAUAUGGUUGUACGGUGUAUAGCACAAAUGGUUAAUUCUCAGGCUGCAAAUAUUCGUUCAGGAUGGAAGAACAUUUUCUCAGUAUUCCAUCUAGCUGCAUCAGACCAAGAUGAAAGCAUAGUAGAACUUGCAUUUCAGACAACAGGGCACAUUGUCACUCUUGUAUUUGAAAAACACUUUCCGGCCACCAUUGAUUCUUUCCAGGAUGCAGUGAAGUGUUUGUCUGAAUUCGCAUGUAAUGCAGCUUUCCCAGACACAAGUAUGGAAGCAAUCCGACUUAUUCGCCAUUGUGCAAAAUAUGUGUCUGAUAGACCGCAGGCUUUCAAGGAGUACACAAGUGAUGACAUGAGCGUGGCACCUGAAGACAGGGUGUGGGUGAGAGGGUGGUUCCCGAUCCUCUUUGAGUUGUCUUGUAUCAUCAAUAGAUGCAAAUUAGAUGUAAGAACCAGGGGCUUAACAGUAAUGUUUGAAAUAAUGAAAACAUAUGGCCACACUUAUGAAAAACAUUGGUGGCAGGACUUAUUCAGAAUUGUUUUCAGAAUCUUUGACAACAUGAAAUUGCCAGAACAGCAGACAGAGAAAGCUGAAUGGAUGACAACAACUUGUAACCAUGCCCUUUAUGCAAUAUGUGAUGUAUUCACCCAGUAUUUAGAAGUUCUCAGCGAUGUACUUUUGGAUGAUAUUUUUGCCCAGCUUUACUGGUGUGUACAACAAGACAAUGAGCAGUUAGCACGAUCUGGUACAAACUGCUUAGAAAACGUGGUUAUUCUGAAUGGUGAAAAGUUUACUCUUGAAAUCUGGGAUAAAACGUGUAACUGCACCCUGGAUAUCUUCAAAACCACAAUUCCUCACGCGCUUCUGACUUGGCGUCCCACCUCUGGCGAGGCCGAACCCCCAUCUCCAUCAGCUGUGAGUGAAAAGCCGUUGGAUGCAAUAUCACAAAAAUCUGUAGACAUACAUGAUUCUAUUCAACCAAGAUCUUCAGAUAACAGACAGCAAGCACCACUGGUUUCUGUUUCUACUGUGAGUGAAGAAGUUAGCAAAGUGAAAUCCACAGCAACUGGAACUCAUCCAGACCAUCGACAACAUUGUCUUCUUCCCAGCCACAAGCAAGAAGGAGGAUGCAGAGAACUUAGCUGCAGCCCAGAGAGAUGCAGUAGACUUCGAUGUUCGAGUUGAUACUCAAGACCAAGGAAUGUACCGCUUUUUAACAUCACAACAACUGUUCAAGCUACUGGACUGCUUAUUAGAGUCGCAUAGAUUUGCAAAAGCAUUUAAUUCCAACAAUGAACAGAGGACUGCUCUGUGGAAAGCAGGCUUCAAAGGCAAGUCCAAGCCCAAUCUUCUAAAACAGGAGACAAGCAGCCUGGCGUGUGGGCUGCGCAUUCUCUUCCGGAUGUACAUGGACGAGAGCAGAGUCAGUGCCUGGGAAGAAGUCCAGCAGAGGCUUUUAAACGUCUGCAGGGAAGCGCUGAGCUACUUCCUCACUCUAACAUCCGAAAGUCACCGGGAAGCCUGGACUAACUUACUGUUACUGUUCCUCACUAAAGUUCUGAAGAUCAGUGACAGCAGGUUUAAAGCUCACGCAUCAUUCUACUACCCUCUCUUAUGUGAAAUUAUGCAAUUUGACUUGAUUCCGGAACUGCGUGCUGUUCUUAGAAGAUUUUUCCUGCGAAUUGGAAUAGUAUUUCAAAUAUCACAACCACCUGAACAGGAACUUGGGAUAAACAGGCAAUGAUGAGAGCCGAUGUUUUUCUGUUGGUGUUUACAUUGCUCUGCUCUGUGAAAGGAUCCUGCAGCAGAGGCUUCCUACCUGAAAAAUGUUUCUCUCAAUUGUAGUGUGUGAGUUACUGGUAAGACGCUUACACCUAUAACUCAAGGUCGGAAUAGUCCCUCCAGUCCCUUUAGUAACCCAGUGGCCUCUGUCUCGUGUUGGGCUCAUGUUGAGCAGAAAGGCUGUUCCCACAGCAUCAGCCUACCUUUAGGGUCCUUCCCUGUCCUCUAAGCAGGGUGAGCCCACACUGUGGCAGGUACGGAAAUUACCCAAAGAAGUAUAGAUGUAAAGACUGAGCUUCUGCGAGAAGUACAACUCAGGAGAGCUGUAUUUUGAAGGAUAAAAUGUUUAUAAUUGGGGGUGGGGGAAGGGAGAAAAAAAUUAUUGCUCAUGGUAAAAGAUAUUUAGCAACUAUGGUAUUCUUACUCUGAAGAUUUUUGCACACUCAGGCUAUCUGAGACACCGGAAAUCAUCAUCUUUCUGUGAAAAUGUACAGAGAUGCAGGUCUGUAAUAUAAAAAUCUUAAACAUAUUGUUCCUCCUGCACUGUUUUAUUUCUUUAUUUUCUUAUCUACUUGCUAAAUACCCAUAAUAUUUUGUCAAAUGCACUAAAACAUUUGGGUUGAACUUUUAGUCUUUGGGGGAGUGGUGGUCAUUUUGAGGGCUUGCUGUGCCCUGAAUCUGUUGUGGCUGAUGCCUGUCAAGAUGACAACAGGAGGGGAUCCACCAAGGUAGAAAACAUCCCUGCUGACAAGACCUACCUGUGACAUACUCACUCUCUUAGGGCUUUUAAAGACAAGCCAUUAAAAUAGAUGACCUUUCACAGACUGAAACUUGAAUCACUGCAAAAUGAAUCUAGGUUGCUGUCACUUUUUCUUUUGGGUGGCGGGGCUUGAUGUAGAUUUUAUUCUAUGUACAGAAUUUAAUGUUGAAUAUAUUAAAAAUAACAAACCUGGCAUGGUUUUGGGAGGUUAGAUUUACUGGAAAUGUAUUCAUACUGUGAACUGUGCUCUGAUGGUUAGAAUGAAAAGCUUAUCAAGCAUUCCAUAUAACAGUGGAUGUAGAAAAUGUUUUCAGGUGGAUAUGUAUAUGGUACAGAUGUAAAGUUUUCUAUGUAAAAAAUUCUGUACAACUUUCUGUACAAUAUUGAUUCUCAUCUGGCAUAUCUAAUCAGGUUAUAGGUCAAUAAAGUUUUUGAAUUAUUUCAUCAGUGCAGUGUAACCCACA